GUUCCAUCAAUAAAGGUAAUCAAACAUCAAGUAUUUUCCAAACACCAAACAAAACACAUAAUCAUCAAAAUAAAUGAUGUGAUGAAAUGCAAUGCAAUAUAACACCGUGUAAUGAAUUGUCUCAGAAUACCCAGUACACACUCAACCGUAUAUACAUGAUACUCCUCGGAAAUACAUCGAGAGUUCAUGACCCAUGGGGGACUCGCGAGGUCCAUAUACCGACACGGACGAUCUUCACGUGUCUGUGCGGACAAUCUCAACGCACUAUCAUAAUAUCAAACAAUUUCAACCAAACUCCAAAUCUUGAUACAUAUUGGUAUGCCAAUUUUUUUCCAUACUUGCUAAAUUUCAAGCCAAGAACUUAACUCUAACCUCUUCAAAUGGACUAAAAUUCAAUGUUAGAUCAUAUAAAAUAACACCUAAUAAUUAAUUACCAAUCCCAAUAUUAAAAACUAGCAUUUUAAUAUAUGAAUAAUACAUGAACCAAAUUUUCACCCAUUGGCAGAAGUGGAACGCCCCUCCCCUUUUCCCUGUUUUUUUUUAUUCGUUCUACAUGCCAAUUAAAGCAUCUCCCAUUGUUGGUACCUUUAAAUUCUGAGGUGUGAGUAUACCCACCCGACCUGAGCAUAACUCCGAGAAGACAACCUCUGGUUUAAAGAAAUUGAUCACUGCCUUAACUUCUUGGCAGGAUUCCGAAGAAACGUGAGCAGUGCUAACAACAUACACAUCGCGAAUGCCUCCAUUGGCAGAAGAUUGUUUUUUUUUCUUCCACAUCUCCACCAAUUCUCCCAUUAUAAAUAUAGCAUAAAAUAAUAACACAAUCCCAAACACUCCGACAAUAUAUUACUAUAUAUAGAAUUGAAAAGAAUGAAUAUCUCAUAUCUUUACCUGAACAAUGGCUAUGAUUUUUCUUCCUCUCGCUGGUCGCCUGUGGUAAGGUUUCGCCUCCCUACUUUUUGUUUUCCUGUUCUUCUAAAUAAGAAAUUAUUAACUGUGAAACUCCACUAACCUAUUAUCUAAUUAUUUAUUUAAUAAAAGUUUCAUCAAUUGUGUACUCAUAGUUAUCUAAAAGCUUAAAAAUAACCCUUUAAAUUUUCAAAAGGAGUCAAACUAGUCCUAGUUCUCAAAACGACCUAGCGGGUCGUUACAUCACCUACCACUUAAACAAAUGUUCGUCCUCGAACGUAAAAAGAAAAGAGCUAACCUGACCUCUCAAAAAGAUGAGGAUAUUUACUCCUCAUGUCUGCCUCUAUCUCCCAUGUAGCUUCCUCCACUGGACGAUGCUUCCACUGAACUUUUACCGAAGCAAUCUCUUUGGACCUUAGCUUCCGAAUUUGCCUAUCCAAAAUGGUGAUCGGCUCCUCCUCAAAAGUAAAAUUCUGAUCAAGUAACACUGAAUCCCAUUGAAUCACGUGAUCACCACCCUGAUGAUACUUCUUAAGCAUUGAAAUAUGAAAUACAGGUUGGACACCUGACAACCCAGGUGGCAAAGCCAACUGAUAUGCCACCUUACCAAUACACUCCACAACCUCGAAAGGACCAAUGUACCUUGGACUCAACUUGCCCUUCUUUCCAAAUCUCAUCACACCCUUCAUGGGUGAAACCUUAAGUAGAACCUUCUCUCCAACCAUAAACUCCAAAUCACGAACCUUCCUAUCUGCGUAACUCUUUUGCCUACUCUGAGCCAUGAGAAGUCUAUCUUGGAUCAACUUGACCUUGUCUAAGGACUCCCUCAACAAACUGUACCCCAUGGUCUAACCUCAAAUGCAUCAAAUCAGCCAAUUGGAGAUCGACAUCUCCUACCAUACAGAGCCUCAAAUGGUGCCAUCUCAAUGCUCGAGUGAUAACUAUUAAUGUAAGGAAACUCCGCUAGAGGCAUGAACUGGUCCCACUGACCACCAAAGUCAAUCACACAUGCCCGCAACAUAUCCUCAAGAACCUGAAUAGUCCGCCCAGAUUGACCAUCAGUCUGAGGGUGAAAGGCUGUACUAAGAUCCACUCGAGUGCCCAACUCUUUCUGCAUAGACCGCCAAAAAUGAGAUGUAAAUUGCGUGCCACGAUCUGAAAUAAUAGAUAUAGGAACUACAUGCAAACGAACUAUCUCUUGAAUAUAGAUCUUGGCUAACUUCUAUGAGUUAUAGGUAGUCUGAACUGGUACAAAGUGUGCAGACUUAGUCACUCGAUCCACGAUGACCCAUAUAGCAUCAAACUUACCCAAGGUACGUGGCAACCCUACCACAAAGUCCAUAGCAAUGUGCUCCCACUUCCACUCAGGUAUGGGCAUCCUCUGAGUCAUACCUCCAGGCUUUUGGUGUUCAUACUUCACUUGCUGACAAUUCAAACAUCGAGAUACAAAAUCUACUAUGUCCCUCUUCAUACGACACCACCAAUAGUGUUGCUUCAAGUCACGAUACAUCUUAGUAGCCCCCGGAUGAAUAGAGUACCUCGAACUAUGAGCCUCCUCCAUGAUCAAUCUUGUCAAAUCACCUGUACGAGGAACACAUAUACGACCCUUAAUCCUCAAAACUGCCUCACUAUCAAGAAUUGCAGCCUUGGCUUCUCCUUUUAAAACCUUAUCCCUAAUCUUACAUAAAUCACCAUCAUCAAACUGUUGAGCCCAAAUCUGCUCCAACAAGGAUGACCUAGCAGCCAUAUAAGCCAACACCUUACCAGAUUCUGAAAUAUCAAGUCUAACAAAGCUAUUGGCCAGGGAUUGGACAUCCCUAGCUGAAGGACGCUCGCCAACCUGUAACAUGGCUAGACUACCCAUACUUACUGCCUUCCGACUCAAGGCAUCUGCUACAACAUCUGCUUUACCUGGGUGAUAAAGAAUAGUCAUAUCAUAGUCUUUGAGCAACUCCAACCAUCUCCUCUGCCUCAAAUUUAGAUCCCUCUGAUUGAAUAUAUACUGUAGACUACGAUGAUCCGUGAACACCUCACAAUGCACACCAUAAAGAUAAUGCCUCCAAAUCUUUAAUGCAAACACAACAACCACCAACUCUAAAUCAUGAAUAGGGUAGUUCUUCUCAUGAACCUUUCACUGCCUCGAAGCAUAAGCUAUCACCCUUCCCUUCUGCAUCAACACACAACCAAGAACAACCCGAGAAGCAUCAGAAUAUAUGACAAAACCCUCUCCCUCCACGGGUAGGGUCAAAAUCGGUGCAGUAGUCAAUAAAGUCUUGAGCUUUUGGAAACUAACCUCACAUUCGUCAGACCACUGAAAAGUCACCUCCUUCUGUGUCAAUCUAGUUAAUGGAGAUGCAAUGGAUGAGAAACCCUCAACAAACAGUCAAUAAUAACCUGCAAGGCCCAAGAAACUCCGAAUCUCAGUAACUGAAAUAGGUCUGACCCAAUCUCUAACCACCUCAAUCUUCUUAGGAUCCACCAUGAUACCCUCCUUGGACACUACAUGUCCCAAGAAUGCUACCGAACUAAGCCAAAACUCACACUUUGAAAACUUUGCAUAAAGCUUCUUCUCCUUUAGAAUCCCAAAAACAAUCCUCAAAUGAUGCUCGUGUUCCUCCUUAGUGCGUGAGUAUAUCAAUAUAUCAUAUAUGAAGACAAUAACAAAGGAAUCUAAAUACGGUCUGAACACUCCAUUCAUCAAGUCCAUAAAAGUUGCUGGGGCAUUAGUCAAUCCGAAAGACAUCACCAAAAACUCGUAAUGACCAUAACGUGUUCGAAAAGCCGUCUUAGGGAUAUCCUCCGCCCUAACCUUCAGCCGAUGAUAGCUAGAUCUCAAGUCAAUUUUGGAGAAAACUGAAGCAUCCUGCAACUGAUCAAAUAAAUCAUCAAUACGAGGUAUCGGAUUCUUGUUUCCGAUGGUUACCUUUUUCAACUGCCGAUAGUCAAUACACAUACACAUAGAUCCAUGUUUCUUCUUCACAAAUAACACUGGAGCACCCCACGGAGAUACACUUGGUCUAAUAAAACCCUUGCUCAACAAAUCCUGCAACUACUCCUUCAACUCUUUCAAUUCAGUCAGUGCCAUACGAUAAGGAGGAAUAGAAAUAGGCCGAGUGCCUGGCUCCACAUCAAUACAAAAAUCAAUAUCACGAUCUGGUGGAAGACCAGGCAAAUCGGUCGGGAAUACCUUUGAAAAUUCACUCACCACUGGAAUAGACUCAAGCAUAGGAGUCUCAAUACUAGUAUCUCGAAUAUGGGCCAAGUAAGCCAAACAUCCUCUCUGUACCAACUGAUGAGCCUUAAGGAAUGAUAUCACACCCUUAGAAGGAUGACUAAGAGUACCUCUCCGUUCUACUAUAGGAAUUCCAAGCAUAGCUAAAGUGAUGGUCUUGGCAUGACAAUUUAAAAUUGUGUGGUAAGAAGAUAACCAAUCCAUACCAAGAAUCACAUCAAAAUCUAUCAUAUCUAAGACCUUUAAAUCUGCAUGAGUAUCACACCCCAUCAAAGUAACAGUACAUAAACAAUACACCCGAUCUACAACUACAGAAUCCCCUACAGGAGUAGAAACACAUAUCGGCAAAUCAAGAGUCUCACACAAUAUAUCCAGACUAGGAGCAAAAUAUGUGGACACAUAAGAAUAAGUAGAUCCUGGAUCAAAUAAGACAUUAGCUGAUCGAUGACAAACCGGAAUAAUACCUGUGAUAACAGCAUCUGAAGCCUCAGCCUCUGGCCUACCUGGAAAAGCAUAACAGUGAGAACGACCUCCAUCAGAUUGUGAACCUCCACGACCACCACCUCGACCAGAAGGAGAACCACCUCUACCUGAAUGAGAACCACCUCUACCAUUCUGUGCACCACCCCUAGCUGGAGGUUGUGCAGCCCUGGAAGCCGAAGCCUGAAAUCCCUGAUGUAAGCCACCACGUCUGGUCCUAGGGCAGUCUCUCACAAAGUGUCCCAUAUCACCACACUCAAAGCAACCCCUACGAGACGCAGGCUGAUGAGAGGAACCUGAAUGACCAUAAUUCCCUCCACGAACUACAGGUCUAGAAGAUGAACCCUGCGAAGUAUGUACCGAGCUUGAAGAGUUAUGCCCAGCGUAACCAGCCUCAGACGCUGGUAUAGAAGCAUGAAUGAGUCUGCUGGACUGGGGGUGAUAACCUCUGCCCAAGUAACUCCGACUCCUAGGCGGAGCACCACCAUAAUCACCUGAAUAACGAGUCCUCUUGCCCUCUUGCUGCUCAAAUCCCUCACGUCGAAUCAUCUCCAACUCCUUAGCAGCAUCUACCACUUUCUGGAAUGGAACACCAGAAGCAGCAACCUGAGAAACUCCUAGACGAAUUGGAAUAAUCUGCCCCUUAACAAACCUCCUCACUCUCUCAGCCUCUGUGGGAAGUAUCAUCUAGGCAUGCCUAGCCAAGGCAUGAAAUUUACCCUCAAACUCUGCAACAGACAUACCAUUUUGCUGUAAACCCUCAAACUCGGCCCUCUUGCGCUCCCUCUCACUACGUGGAACAAAUUUGGAUAGAAAUACCUGAGUAAAUUGAGUCCAGGAUAGUGGAUGGGAUCCAGCUGGCCUACUACUAAUAUAAUCCCUCCACCACUGCUUAGCAGAGCCAGUCAUCUGAAACGCUGUGUAGUCAACUCCAUGAGACUCCACUAAUCCAAGAUUAUGCAACCUCUCAUGACAACUAACUAUAAACUCAUAUGCAUCCUCACCUAAGUCACCAGUAUAAGUAGGAGGAUUCAUUAGUAUGAACCUCCCAAACAUCUUUUGCUCAUCAAUAGUCAUAGAAGGCCUGUUCACCAAAUGUGAUGUCAUAUCUGGAAACUCCAUACUAUCCAAACGAGAAGCUACAGCGGCAGCUGGCUGAGUCCUGGGAGUCUGAGAAUCUGGAGCAACUAUCGAAUCUAGAGUUUAACCUCUAACACGGGUCUGUGAGCCAUCAGAAGUGACAGGCAAAGCUCCUGCCUGGGCCAUCCCCUCUAAGAUUCCUAACAUACGAGUCAAGGUAUCUUGAAGCAUUGGGAGAACAAUAGUACUGGUUGGAGCCUGAGCUGGCACAUCCCCCUCGACACGAUCUUGCACAUCCCCAUGAAUAAUCUCUGCAUCAGGAGGUACGGUCCUAUCACAACCCUGGGUAGCUACUGGUACUUGAACAUCCAUAGGUGUUGCAACACGGCCCCUACCCCGACCUCGAGCUCGUCUCCUACCUCUACCUCGGAUAGUGUUCCAAGAAGCAGGCGCAGGAAUAGGAUCCUGACCACCACUUGCCGAUGUACGAUUCCUCGCCAUCUGAGAGAGAAUGAAAUAUCAAGAUUAGAAUUUCUACAAGGUCAAGUGUGCACGAUAAUAAAUAAAAGAACAGAUUAUAUCCUAAAUGUCCUAUAGCCUCUCGAAGAUAGGUAUAGACGUCUUCAUACCGAUCCGCAAGACUAUACUAGACAUUGCUCUUGUACUCUUGAGACCAAUGAACCUAGGGCUCUGAUACCAAGUUUGUCACGACCCAAAAUCACGAGUCGUGAUGGCACCUAUGUUCCCAACCAAUAGGUAAGCCAACCAACAUAUUUUAACAAACUUAACUAGUGAAUAAGUGAAAAGACAACAAAUUUCCAAAUCUCCAACACAGAGUUCUUUAUAAGUACGAAUGCGGAAAACUGAAAAAAAAAAUACUGCCCAACAAUUGGUGUCAUAAGUACAAGAGAUUCUAGAAUACGAUGCAAGUGUGAAACUAAAAUGACAAAUCUAACUUAAGGGAUAUCCUGUCUGAAUACUGAAUAACAGAAUACGUAAAGACAGAGGGAGGUGUGGGCCACGGAACAGCCAAGCAGCUCACCACAACUCCAAGAACUUCAAGCCGGAAUCAAUUUGCUCCACGAGAUGUGCUCCUACUCGGAAUCGAAUCUGCACCACAAGGAGUGCAACAAGCGUAGUAUGAGUACGAACCACGUGUACCCAGUAUGUCUCAUUGACCGACAACGAAGAAGUAGUGACGGAAGUUUAUACAAAAAAAAAUAGAUUUGUAAAUUAUAUAAGUAUAUAUAUAUAUAUAUAUAUUACACUUACUAUUUAGGUUCCAUCAAUAAAGGUAAUCAAACAUCAAGUAUUUUCCAAACACCAAACAAAACACAUAAUCAUCAAAAUAAAUGAUGUGAUGAAAUGCAAUGCAAUAUAACACCGUGUAAUGAAUUGUCUCAGAAUACCCAGUACACACUCAACCGUAUAUACAUUAUACUCCUCUGAAAUACAUCGAGAGUUCAUGACCCAUGGGGGACUCGCGAGGUCCAUAUACCGACACGGACGAUCUCCACGUGUCUGUGCGGACAAUCUCAAAGCACUAUCAUAAUAUCAAACAAUUUCCGCACGGACGGUUUCCACGUGCCCAAAUUAAAAUCUUAACAUCUCACCAUCCCCAGCACGGACGAUCUCCACGUGCCCAAC
rnacentral:lncRNA from 1 species